ensembl:lncRNA
AAAUUACCCAAUUUGAGUGUGCCAUCUGUUUCCUGCUGAGACCCUAACUGAGACAGCAGGCAACAUAUUUUCCCACUCAAAAAUCUGGAUGCAUGAUCUAAGUCCCAGUGUGACUGCAGGACACACGGCCUAGCCCAUCAGUCAAGCAUUACCACUGUGCCCUGCCCCCUGGGGCCCGCACCCACUCGGGAACUCCACCAUCCUGGUCCUUCUGCCUCCUCCCAGCAGCCCCUUCUCCUCCCUGGCUAUACCAACUACUCGGACCUUCCUAGAGCCCCAGUCCUCUCCCAACCCCUCACUCUCAGCUGACACAACUCCAGCUUCGUUAGAAAAAGAGGCCGUUAGUCGGGAAUGAAUGCUCCUUAGUGCUGUGUCCUUUCUCACCAGCCACAGUUCAUCUUUUGGGGAUCAGAUUUUCUGAAUCCUUCUGUCCAAGAUAAAUAUCCUCCCCUUUGCCCAGUAUCCUUUCCCAUCCACUUUGGAGGAGCCCCACUGUGGCAAACUUCUUGAUGGAGCCGUCUGCACUCAUUUCCUCUGCUUCUUCAGCAUUUCUGUCCCUGCCCCUCCACAUGAGGCUUACCAAUGACCUCCCAGAAGGCGGCUCCAAAGGAUCCAUCUCAGAUUUGAUUCCCCGGACUGAGGGUCACCAAAAGCAACCACGUGCCUCCUUUCCUGAGCCAACAUGAAGAUGACCUCCCAAACUGCCCCCUGGAGGGGCUUUGGGCCUUGGAAGCCAGGAAAGUGAGCUGAGAUGUGAUGUUGUCCUGACACACCUGCCUGGGUCAGUUAAAAUCAAUGGCCAGGGGCCGGCCCAGUGGCGGAGUGGUUAAGUUCAUGCGCUCUGCUGCACCGGCCCAGGGUUUCGCUGGUUCGGAUCCUGGGCACGGACACAGCACUGCUCAUCAGGCCACAGUGAGGCGGCGUCCCACAUGCCACAACUAGAAGGAACCACAACUAAAAUAUGCAACUAUAACUGGGGGGAUCUGGGGAGAAAAAGAAGAAAGAAAGAAAAAGAUUGGCAACAGUUGUUAGCUCAGGUGCCAAUCUUUAAAAAAAAGAAAAAUCAACGGCCAAUCAGCAGGCACCUCUGCCUGGAGCCCACCUGCAUCCCGUCAGCUCCUCUCUGUUCUGAAGACUUCUUUUCCUUCCCAUCAGAGAACGUCUCCCUCCAAAAUCUAACAGGCCAUUCACUCGAUUGAACCAGUCUCUUCUUCUCCACCGCAGACAACACGCUCCAGUUCUGGCCUCAUCAUCUGUUAGCUGGCCUGUUAUUACAGACCCUUCACAGCUCCCCUGGGCUCCCAACGCUCCCUCCACUCCAUCCUCUGCUCAGAGCAGCCAGAGAGAAUGUCCUGAAGUACAAAUCGAAUCCUGGUAUCACCCGUCUGCUUGGAGCCAUCCCCUGCCAGUGCCAGGCCAAACGUUUUUCGCACGGCAGAAUGUGGGCCUAGGGAAAUGUUCAUCCUUGUCUCUUCCCCUUCGGUCCAAAAACAUGCACAGAUUUCUCCCUCAUCCCCCGUCCUCUUCUCCUUUAUAGGCAAACGUCUUGACCCCCAUCUCCAGCAGAGUUCCCGCUCCCUCCUCUGAGCCCCACACUGCCUCUUUCUUUUCUCUGUUUCUUUGUCAGUUUCUCCCCCUGUCUGGAAGCCUGAGACCGUGUCUAAUGCGUCUUUGUAGCCGAGGGCCCAGGACAAGGCCUGGCAGAAGGAGUCAUUUAUUAAU